rnacentral:rRNA from 1 species
CCUACGGGUGGCAGCAGUGAGGAAUAUUGGGCAAUGGACGAGAGUCUGAACCAGCCAAGUCGCGUGAAGGAUGACUGCCCUAUGGGUUGUAAACUUCUUUUAUAUGGGAAUAAAAUGUUCCACGUGUGGGAUUUUGUAUGUACCAUAUGAAUAAGGAUCGGCUAACUCCGUGCCAGCAGACGCGGUAAUACGGAGGAUGAGAGCGUUAGCCGGAUUUAUUGGGUUUAAAGGGAGCGUAGGUGGAUUGUUAAGUCAGUUGUGAACGUUUGCGGCUCAACCGUAAAAUUGCAGUUGAAACUGGCAGUCUUGAGUACAGUAGAGGUGAGCGGAAUUCGAGGUGUAGCGGUGAAAUGCUUAGAUAUCACGAAGAACGCCGAUUGCGAAGGCAGUUCACUGGACUGCAACUGACACUGAGGCUCGAAAGUGUGGGUAGCAAACAGGAUUAGAUACCCCGGUAGUC